CUGUGUUGUUGUGUUGUUCGCAAUUGUUGUGCUAGCCUAGAGUCGCAUACGUCAGUCAAACCACUGGCCUGGGGUAUAUUCUCAGUUUUUAAAUAAUUCGCGAGAUAGAAGGUCGCACAAGCUAUCGGGUGUCGAGUCGAGUUGAGUUUGCGAUCCGUUCUUUUUGCGCGGAAUUCGCUCAGAUCGGGCGCUGAUAACCCGUGUCGCGAGUUCUAAUCUGGGAGUCGGUUUGUCACCUGCAUUGCACAGGUUGCGCAGCGAUUCGGGCGAGUUUCGGUGACUCACGGUCGGUGCCCACAUAUUGUGCCUUAUUUUUCGUAUAGUGGGGGUUUAUCAGUAAGUGCGAAGCUUAAAUAUAACACCCACGUGAACGUUGUGGGUCUAUGUAACUACCAACCGAGGAAAACUCAUCAAGAGAAAGUGCGUCUACCAUAUACCAAAGAAAAGUUUAUUUGAGGAAGUGGAAAUAUGUCUUGUGUAAACUCAUCAGAUGCAGAUGUCUGCUGAAAUAAUGUGCAUUUUAGGUGAUGAAAAUUAAAAGUGGCGCAGUUGUAAUCUGCAAAUGUGUCUGUGUCUGAAAUGUGUGGCGGCUCACUUUAUCGAAAUUCUACAUGCAGAGGUUUCUGACUUCAGUGGGUCAGUUAGUUUAUCGAAACAUAUGGACUUUAGUGUGUGUAAAUUAAAUUCAACCAAAUGAGCGCAAGUGGAAGCACGGAAGAAAAGUCCCAGGAGAAUUCAGACGAUGAAGAUUCUCAUCAUUGUGUGUCGAAUACCGUCGAAAGUUCGUGAGCCAUAAAUAGCGGGUGCAAGCAUAUCGAAAUGUGAACGAAUCGUAAAUCCCGCAAUGUGAUCGAGUUUAUUGUGAUAUAAAGUGUUGAAAGAUCCCGAAAAUAAACAAAUAUUCUUGUUGCAAGCCGUUGAAGUGUAAUAAUUAAUUAAACAAAAAGGAGAACAGAAGCCUGAAAAAUGUUCUUCUCAUCGAAUGUGGAUGCAAAAAAGACGACGAACUGGUUCUCGUCACUUCGUCGUCAACCGAAACCCAAGAAGACAGCGCUGGUCGCUGACAAGUUAACCCAGAAGAGUUGUGUCGAUUUGACGUCCAGUAGUCUGUACGACCAUGGUGACAAGUCUAGUCAGUCGCCAGAAGCGGUGGAGACCAGUGCACCGGACGAUCCGUUGUGUAAACCUGCAGCAGGAAGAUCCAUCUGCACGUGUGAGUGGGUGAAAGUAACACCAUCGCCUUCAUUUUCUUCCGAUUCGCCAGAAUCUUCCUCGAGUCUUACCUCAGCCACAACGGCCACAAUUAGCACCACGGUGUCGAGAAGUCUGCGGGAGAACAAAUACCAUCUGCUUCCAACCGCCUCCUCGGAAGAUAAUCUCACAAGUGAUAGCGCUAAUGAUCUCAAGGAUAUUGCCCUGUCAGCGUUGAAUAACACUAGCAGCCUGCGGAGGAGACCAAAGAGGAAGGAGCAGGUCUACACCUCGACCACAGUAACCACUGUGACAAAAACGACGGUUGUGAACAAACAGAAAACCUACCGUGUGGGUUUAAUCUUCAGUGACAACGGCGAACUGUUGAAUAGCAAUCUUGACCUACGACAGCUGCUCGAGGAAAGCAAGCAGGCCGAGCUUGCCUCCAGCGAAAGCAGUAGCACCAUAAGGGAAGAAGUUAACAAUAACAGCCGGAAGGAUUCCAAGUGCCAGCGAGAGUUUAGUAUUCUGGACGAUAGUAAUUUUGACUUUAUCGACGACAGUGCUGACUUGUUCAACCGUAAUUACUCGGGCAACAAUGUUGCCGUCCAUGCCAAUUCGGCAAGCUCAACGCCAAAAGUUCUUAGGAAGUGUAAUAACUGCAAAAACAAAUCUAAUCUAGUCUACAGACGAAGCGUUAGUUCACCGCAUCGAAAGAAGCAAAUUAACGAUGAACUGAAUGAGGUGGAGUCGGAGAUGAGGGCGCAUGAGAACAAGGAGGAGAACAAACAUUCCAAUAAAGAUAAGCAGAUGGCAUUAGGACGUAAGAAAUUCAACAUGGACCCAAAGAAAGGCAUAGAAUUUUUAUAUGAACAUCAGCUUCUGAGGACGGACCCACAAGACGUAGCUCAAUUUUUGUAUAAAGGAGAGGGGCUCAACAAGACAGCCAUUGGCGACUAUCUGGGCGAGAAAAAUGACUUCAAUGAGCAGGUGUUGAAGGCAUUCGUAGAUCUGCAUGACUUUACCAACCUUAUUCUAGUGCAAGCUUUAAGACAAUUUCUCUGGUCAUUCAGGCUACCCGGUGAAGCGCAGAAGAUUGACCGUAUGAUGGAAUGCUUCGCACAGCGGUACUGCCAGCUCAAUCCGGACAUCUUCACCAACACGGACACAUGCUAUGUGCUUAGUUUCGCAAUCAUCAUGCUAAACACGUCGUUGCAUAAUCCAUCGGUGAAAGAGAAACCAACCGUUGAGCAAUUCAUAUCGAUGAAUAGAGGCAUCAACAAUGGAGGAGAUUUACCGAGAGAAUUGCUGGAGUCUCUGUAUGAAUCCAUCCGGACAGAGCCGUUCAAGAUACCCCAGGACGAUGGCAACGACCUAAUGCACACAUUCUUCAACCCGGAUAAGGAGGGAUGGCUCUGGAAGCAAGGCGGACGGUAUAAAUCGUGGAAACGAAGGUGGUUCAUUCUGAAUGACAACUGCUUGUACUACUUUGAAUACACCACUGACAAAGAACCCAGAGGGAUCAUUCCGCUGGAAAACAUUGCGGUCCGCGAAGUGCAAGACCGCAGCAAACAGUUCUGCUUCGAGUUGCAUGCCAGCGGUGGAGCGGAAAUCAUCAAAGCAUGCAAAACCGACUCCGAGGGUAAGGUGGUCGAGGGUAAGCAUACCGUAUAUCGAAUGUCGGCCGCCAACGAGGAGGAACAGCAGGAGUGGAUCAAAUGUCUCAAUCAGUCCAUCAGUCACAACCCGUUUCACGACAUCCUAGUACAAAGGAAGAAGAAGGCACUCGCAAAAACUUCAACUAAGCGCCACAUUUCUAACGACCGUCACAACCGCCGGCACAGCCAUUAGAGAUGCGAUGCUAGUGGACUUUUGAAGGUGAUUAUUGAGUCAUCUCACCGACCUCACCCCGUUUCGGCUUGGCCCACUUUGCUCACGGAAUAUUAAUUCUCAUCUUCAACUGGUUCACGUGCUUUGGCUUCGUGGAGAACGAGAAGAACCAGCAGGAUGAUGACGACGACGACGAAUGCCGCAAGAGCUUGACCGAAUGCCACCAACUGUCGUC